rfam:Arabis alpina cultivar Pajares chromosome 6, whole genome shotgun sequence.
AAACCAUGGUGAGGAAAAUCUCUCUGAUAAGCCUUAAACCUCUCUCAUGAAGCCUUGAAUGCUUCCUUUGGUCCUUGAGCGAAUGUAGAGAUCUUGGCCCUCAAGUCU